CGCCUGUUCAAAGAGACAAUACAAGUUAGCAUUAGCAUGAGUGAAACUUGACAGAUGCGUUUACAAAUGUGAACGCUAAAAUAGGUUUAUGUUCCUAACAGUAAAGAAUCUUUACAGUGACAUACUUCAAGAUUACUGAAUUCUUAAUUUCCUAAUUUCUUAAUUUAGAACUUGGUUUCCCUCCAUGUAUGGAUGGACUGAAUUUAAAUUGUAGUGCAUAAACUACAAUGAAAAUGUCCUUGAUGCGCAACAAAAGAUUUUGCCUCAACAGAUUAUGUGAUUGCAUAACUGGACUAACCAAUGAACCAAUCACACUGCAUGGAAUGGAAACAGUGCUUUAUUCGCAAAUAUGUUAAAAAUAUUAAAUUCACAACUUUAGAUGGGAGCCUGAAAAUAUCUCAAGUUAAGCAUGUUCUUUUGUAACCAUCAGUCCAUUAGAAUGGAAGCAUUCAAGGCUGUUUUUAAGGUGAAUUUCAGUGCCUCCUUGAAUCAAUUUCCUGUAUUUCUGCUGUUUGUAACCCCCCAAUUUUUUUUUUAUUUUCUACGUAUCUUUCUAACCACAAACUCUUUUAACCUUUAGGUGAAUUUAAGUGCGUGCCUGAGUCUAUUUCCUGCACUUUCAUCCCCUUGAUACAGCAUGUAUAAGAAGCAAGAGAGCGAUACGCACCGGUCACCUGCAGCUGUGUCCGGGCCAGCACGAGUCUCUGCAGGUCCUCCUCCACGUUGAUGACGUGUGUGUCCAGCGGUAACUCUGAGGGCUGCAGGAGGGUGGGACUGUAGCGGCCGGAGUCGUACUCCGCCUGACUCUGCUGGAUCAAAUCCUCCUCUGUUAACACGGCCUCCGGUGCUUCAUCUUUCUCUCCCUCCUCCUCUCCUCCCUUCCUCUUCUCAGGACUGCUCCUUCCAGACCGCUCACCCUCUCCUUCAUCCAGCCUCUUGGUCCGUCUGUCUCUAUCUUCACCUUGCUGAGAGCUGCCCGGCUCCUCAUCUGCAGACUCCGCCGCUGUAGGGCUACUGGACAAACCACAAAUUGGUCAGAAUGGUCAGGUGGACGUGAAAUCACUCACAUGGGCCGCUCAUUCUCCGGCUCUUCUUUGAUGAUGGGGAAAAGUGGUUCGCUCUCCACACCCUGUUCCUGUUUGAGUUUAUACAGCUUCUGCCGCAGGA